AGUGAACGCUGGCGGCGUGCCUAAUACAUGCAAGUCGAACGCGAAAGUCCUUCGGGAUGAGUAAAGUGGCGCACGGGUGAGUAAUACAUGAGAACAUGCCCUUAAAUGGGGAAUAACGUUUGGAAACGAACGCUAAUACCGCAUAAUCUCGCGAGAGUAAAGGUGGCGCCGCAAGGGCUACCGUUUAAGGAUUGGCUCAUGUCCCAUUAGCUAGUUGGCGGGGUAAUGGCCCACCAAGGCAACGAUGGGUAACUGGUCUGAGAGGAUGAUCAGGCACACUGGAACUGAGACACGGUCCAGACUCCUACGGGAGGCAGCAGUAGGGAAUAUUGCACAAUGAGGGAAACCCUGAUGCAGCAACGCCGCGUGAGUGAAGAAGGCCCUUGGGUUGUAAAGCUCUUUAGCGAGGGACGAAUAAGGCAUGGCUAACAUCCAUGUUGAUGACGGUACCCCUUUAGCAAGCACCGGCUAACUCUGUGCCAGCAGCCGCCGUAACAC
rnacentral:rRNA from 1 species